rnacentral:rRNA from 1 species
AGCGAACGCUGGCGGCAGGCUUAACACAUGCAAGUCGAGCGGGCAUCCUUGUGGUGUCAGCGGCAGACGGGUGAGUAACGCGUGGGAACGUGCCCUUCGGUUCGGAAUAACUCAGGGAAACUUGAGCUAAUACCGGAUACGCCCUUUUGGGGAAAGGUUUACUGCCGAAGGAUCGGCCCGCGUCUGAUUAGCUAGUUGGUGAGGUUAUGGCUCACCAAGGCGACGAUCAGUAGCUGGUCUGAGAGAAUGAUCAGCCACACUGGGACUGAGACACGGCCCAGACUCCUACGGGAGGCAGCAGUGGGGAAUAUUGGACAAUGGGGGCAACCCUGAUCCAGCCAUGCCGCGUGAGUGAUGACGGCCUUAGGGUUGUAAAGCUCUUUUCUCCGGGACGAUAAUGACGGUACCGGAGGAAUAAGCCCCGGCUAACUUCGUG